rnacentral:rRNA from 1 species
AUUGAACGCUGGCGGCAUGCUUUACACAUGCAAGUCGAACGGCAGCGCGGGCUUCGGCCUGGCGGCGACUGGCGAACGGGUGAGUAAUGCAUCGGAACGUGCCCAGUAGUGGGGGAUAGCCCGGCGAAAGCCGGAUUAAUACCGCAUACGACCUGAGGGUGAAAGCGGGGGACCGAAAGGCCUCGCGCUAUUGGAGCGGCCGAUGUCGGAUUAGCUAGUUGGUGGGGUAAAGGCUUACCAAGGCGACGAUCCGUAGCUGGUCUGAGAGGACGACCAGCCACACUGGGACUGAGACACGGCCCAGACUCCUACGGGAGGCAGCAGUGGGGAAUUUUGGACAAUGGGGGCAACCCUGAUCCAGCCAUGCCGCGUGCGGGAAGAAGGCCUUCGGGUUGUAAACCGCUUUUGUUCGGGAAGAAAUCCUCUGGGCUAAUACCCCGGGGGGAUGACGGUACCGGAAGAAUAAGCACCGGCUAACUACGUG